UCAUUAACGCGCAGGCCGCAAGACGGCCCGCCCCCGGACGCGUUCGGGGGACGGUGUCGCCGGCCACACGCCCAUUCUUGUCUAUCUACCCAGUUGCCUCGGCGGGCCGCGCAUUCGUGCCGCCCGGGGACUAUCAAGCCCCUGGACCGCGCCCGCCGGAGGAGUGAUUGAAAUCCAUGAAUAUUUGUUUAGUCUGAGCGUUAUAAGCAAAAUCAGUUAAAACUUUCAACAACGGAUCUCUUGGUUCCGGCAUCGAUGAAGAACGCAGCGAAAUGCGAUAAGUAAUGUGAAUUGCAGAAUUCCGUGAAUCAUCGAAUCUUUGAACGCACAUUGCGCCCUCUGGUAUUCCGGGGGGCAUGCCUGUUCGAGCGUCAUUUCAACCCCUCAAGCCCGGCUUGUGUGAUGGACGACCGUCCCGCCCUCCCCGCCCCAGGGGGAGGGGGGGACGCGCCCGAAAAGCAGUGGCCAGGCCGCGAUUCCGGCUCCUGGGCGAAUGGGUAACAAACCAACGCCUCUAGGACCGGCCGGCUCUCUGGCCUAGUUU
rnacentral:sRNA from 1 species